GAUGAACGCUGGCGGCGUGCCUAAUACAUGCAAGUCGAGCGAACAGAUGAGGAGCUUGCUCCUCUGACGUUAGCGGCGGACGGGUGAGUAACACGUGGAUAACCUACCUAUAAGACUGGGAUAACUUCGGGAAACCGGAGCUAAUACCGGAUAAUAUAUUGAACCGCAUGGUUCAAUAGUGAAAGACGGUUUUGCUGUCACUUAUAGAUGGAUCCGCGCCGCAUUAGCUAGUUGGUAAGGUAACGGCUUACCAAGGCAACGAUGCGUAGCCGACCUGAGAGGGGGGCCGCCCACACGGGAACUGAGACAGGGCCCAGCCUCCACGGGGAGGCAGCGGAGGGAAACCUUCCGCAGAGGGCGAAAGCCGGAGGGAGCACCCCCGCGGGAGUGAUGAGGGUCUUGGGAUCGAAAAACUCUUUUAUUGGGAAAAAAAAAAUUUGAAAGAAACUAUCCGCGUCUGGACGGUCCCUAAUCAGAAAGCCACGGCUAACCACGUG
rnacentral:rRNA from 1 species